rnacentral:lncRNA from 1 species
UGCCUCAGUCUCUCAAGCCNUACAGUCUUGCCCUUGCUGAGGCUGGCUUUGAACUCAUCCUCCUGCCUCAGCCUCCUGAGUUGAUGGGAUUACAGGCAUGCACCACCAUGCCCAGCUGGGAAGAUUUUCAUUUGGGCUUUGUAUUUUGCUCAACAUGAGAAAAUUUACUCCAUAAAUGUAAGGAAUGUGGAAAGACCUUUUUUUAUGGCUCAAAUUUUCAUCAUCACUAGGAAACUCAUACUGGUAAGAAAAUCUAUGAAUGCAAGGAAUGUGCAAAGAGCUUUUUUUUCAUGACUCAGAACUUAAUUAACAUCAUUUCCCAUACCAGAAAGAGACUCACAUGAAUGUGAAGAGUAUGGGAAAUCUGUAUCUAGGACUCCACCAUUUCUGUGACAGAAAAAAUCCAUACUGAUGCAUAACCCUAUGAAGAGAAGAAAAGUAACCACAUCUUUAGUUACACUUCAUAUUUUACUAAGCAGAAAAUUCACCAUGGUGAGAACCACUAUGAAUGGACACUUUUCGAACACCUUUAAUCAUGACUCAAUGUUUGCUCAACAGCAUAAUAUUUACACUAUUGAAAAGUAUAAUGAAUAUGAAGAUUUAGAGAAUGUUUUCUUUAAGCUCAGUUUUAUCUAUUAUCAUAUAAAAACUUAGGAAUAGUUUUAUUUAUAACAAUAUAACAUUGAAGUUCAUUAAUUCAUCCUUUUGAGAAACACCAAAGUAUAAUAUGGAAGGCAUUCUGAAAUGGUAUAGAAUUCACCCAUCUACAGAAAAUUCACAAUGCAAUCUAUAUUAAUUUAGGAAAGGAUUUACUGAUUCAUCAUCAUUAUGGAAUAUCAGGGUUAAGUUUUUUAAAAAACUUUUAAAAAGUUGUUUCAUCUUGCUCAUAAGGAAAAUGCAAGACACCCCCAAAAUGCAAGAAAUGAAACUAAGAAUCAAUAAGAAGGAUGCCAUCAAACCAAAAUGCUUUUGCACAGCAAAGGAAAUGAUUAAAAGCAUGAAGAGAGAGCCUACAGAAUGGGAGAAAAUAUUGACCAGCUACAUCCAAUAGGGGAUAAAUAUCCAGAAUAUUUGAGAAAUAACUCAAAAAGCUUAACAUCAAAAAAGAAAAACCUAUAACCAAAUCAAUAAGUGGGCAAGAGAACUAAACAAACUUCUCAAAAGAAGAAACACAAAUAGCUAACAAAUAUAUGAAAAAAUGGUCAAUAUAUCUAGCAAGUAGAGACAUGUAGAUCAAAACUACACUAAGAUUUCAUUUCCCUCUAGUAUGAGCGGCCAUGAUUAAGAAUACGAAUAAUAAUAAAUGCUGGCAAGGUCAUAGGGGAAAGGUAUAUUCGUACUUUAUUUGUGGCGCUGCAGACUAGUACAACCACUCUUGAAAGCAGUAUGGAGAUUGCUCAAAAAACUAGGAAUGGAACCAUCAUAUGACUCAGCUGUCCCACUCCCUUGAAUUUUCCCAAAAGAUCUAAAAUCAGCAUAAUACAUCCACAUCAGUGCUUACAGCAGUGCAGUUCACAAUAGCUAAAUUAUGUAAUCAACCCAGAUGCCAUCAAUAAAUGAACAGAUUAAGAAAUUGUUGUAUAUGUGUAUACAAUGGAGUUCUACUCAGGCAUGAAAAAGAAUGAAAUCAUGUCAUUUACCAGUAAGUUAGAAAUGGACGAUAUCAUGAUAAGUGGAAUUAGCCAAACUCAAAGACUCAAAGGUUGAUUGUUUUCUCUCCUAAGCUAGAGUGAAAUAAAGAAAAGGGGAAGGGAAGGCUAGAUAACAUAAAGAACCAAAUACAGAAGUUCACUGAAUUAGAUAAAGGGAAAUGAAGGAAGGGAGGGGGAAUGGGAAUAGGAAAUACUGGAAUGAGUCCGACAUAAUUUUCGUAUGUACAUGUAUGAACACAUGACCAGUGUAAGUAACUUCCCAUCAUGUACAAUCACAAGAAUGGUUAGUUAUACUCCAUGAAAGUAUAAUAUGUCAUAAUACACUCUACUGUCAUGUAUAACUAAAAAGAACAAAUUAAAAAAAAUUAAAAAGAACCAAAUAUAGCUUACCAGCUCUCCACCCACCCCCACACCUU